AACUUUUUUUUAAUUAAUCAAUUUAAACAUACAUUUCUUAACUUAUUUUUCAAUAUGCAAGAAUUUCAACUCUUUUAAUUAAUCAAUUUAAACAUAUAUUUCUUAACUUUUGUUUCAAUAUGUAAGAAUUUCACCUUUUUUAAUUAAUAAAUUUAAACAAAUAUUUCUUAACUUAUGUUUCAAUAUGCUAGAAUUUCAUAUUUUUUAAUUUAUCAAUGUAAACAUACGAGUAUAAGAGUGGAGUUCAGUGAAACGAAGUAUUGGAUUUUAACAAGGAAGGAAUCUAUAACAGUUUUUCUUGUGAAAAAAUGAAAUUUUAUAAGUUAUCAGCAGAGUCAUAGUUACUGUUUUCAGCGCCCAGGGAAAACUGAAGAUUUUGUGCCCCUCCCGACUACUGGCCAAAAAUGGAAAACAUUCAACUCUAAAAAUUCGUAACAUCAUUUUGGCUUCCCUUGGAUGAUGUGCCCACGGACAUAUGCCCCCUUUCUAGCCCUGGUUAUCAUAUACACAGUUUCUUGUGAACUUGUUGACUGUGAGAACCUGGAUACAUAUUUUCUUGCAAAACUGUGAGAAACUAGAUAAAAAUUUUCUUGUGAAAAGAUGAAACUGUGAGAACCUGGAUAAAAAUAUUCUUGUGAAAAGGUGAAACUGUGAGAACCUGGAUAAAAAUUUUCUUGUGAAAAAGUGAAAUUUUUAUAUAAAUAUAAAUAACAUAAUUUAAGAAGACAAAGAUUGUACAAGCAAUGUCAUCUAGGGAACCCUGCAUACAGGUCUCACUUUUCAAUUUCUUUAUCCUUCUGUUGCAACCACAGCCAGCGUAACUGCAUCGGGCAGCAGACGUUUUAGAUUUAAGACAGGCAUCAAGCAACAAAAUUUAGGGAUGACAAAGUUUUUAGAAUUUAUGGAAGCAUCUUGGAGCAGAAUGUAGGAUCUGCAAAGAUCGCACUAAGCUAUAAAAUCCGUAGUGCCGGUCUUUGUUACAACCGCAACAAUGCGAAAUGGAAUAUUUUCGAUUGGAAUUCAGGCAUAUGCAGGCCAAUUUUCUGACUCUGUUUUGCUUUUUUAUAUUCUCAUAUAUAUAUGUUUACGUUAAAUAAAUACUGUUUUGAUCAAUUUUA